rnacentral:rRNA from 1 species
GUCAGCAGCCGCGGUAACACCGGCGGCCGAGUGGUGAUCGUGAUUAUGGGUCUAAAGGGUCCGUAGCCGGUUGGUCAGUCCUCCGGGAAAUCUGAUAGCUCAACUAUUAGGGCUUUCGGGGGAUACUGCCAGACUUGGAACCGGGAGAGGUAAGAGGUACUACAGGGGUAGGAGUGAAAUCUUGUAAUCCCUGUGGGACCACCUGUGGCGAAGGCGUCUUACCAGAACGGGUUCGACGGUGAGGGACGAAAGCUGGGGGCACGAACCGGAUUAGAUACCCGGGUAGUCCCAGCCGUAAACGAUGCUCGCUAGGUGUCAGGCAUGGCGCGACCGUGUCUGGUGCCGCAGGGAAGCCGUGAAGCGAGCCACCUGGGAAGUACGGCCGCAAGGCUGAAACUUAAAGGAAUUGGCGGGGGAGCACAACAACGGGUGGAGCCCUGCGGUUUAAUUGGACUCAACGCCGGACAACUCACCGGGGGCGACAGCAAUAUGUAGGCCAAGCUGAAGACUUUGCCUGAAUCGCUGAGAAGUGGUGCAUGG